CUAAGAAUAUUCCGCAAUGGACGAAAGUCUGACGGAGCGACGCCGCGUGGAUGAUGAAGGCCGGAAGGUUGUAAAAUCCUUUUAUGACUGAGGAAUAAGUGAAGUGAGGGAAACGCUUCAUGGUGACUGUAGGUCAUGAAUAAGCAACGGCUAAUUACGUGCCAGCAGCCGCGGUAACACGUAAGUUGCGAGCGUUGUUCGGAAUUAUUGGGCGUAAAGGGCAUGUAGGCGGCCCUGCAAGCUUGGUGUGAAAUCCACGGGCUCAACCCGUGAACUGCAUUGAGAACUACAGGGCUAGAGUCGCUGAGGCGAGACUGGAAUUCCAGGUGUAGGGGUGAAAUCUGCAGAUAUCUGGAAGAACACCAAUGGCGAAGGCAAGUCUCGGGCAGAUGACUGACGCUGAGGUGCGAAGGUG
rnacentral:rRNA from 1 species